UGCCGAUGAUGAUGUAGUUUCGUGUUAAUGAUCAAAAUGAUGAUUACAACUAUACUGCUGCCUUCCUUCUGAGGCU
rfam:Solanum tuberosum cultivar DM 1-3 516 R44 scf00139_29, whole genome shotgun sequence.